rnacentral:rRNA from 1 species
UACGGAAGGCAGCAGUGGGGAAUAUUGCACAAUGGGCGAAAGCCUGAUGCAGCUAUGCCGCGUGUAUGAAGAAGGCCUUAGGGUUGUAAAGUACUUUCAUCGGGGAGGAAAAAACAAAACUAAUAAUUUUAUUUCUUGACGUUACCCGAAAAAGAAGCACCGGCUAACUCCGUGCCAGCAGCCGCGGUAAUACGGAGGGUGCUAGCGUUAAUCAGAAUUACUGGGCGUAAAGAGCACGUAGGUGGUUUUUUUAAGUCAGAUGUGAAAUCCCUGGGCUUAACCUGGAACUGCAUUUUGAAACUGAAAUACUAGAGUAUCGUAGAGGGAGGUAGAAUUCUAGGUGUAGCGGUGAAAUGCGUAGAUAUCUGGAGGAAUACCUGUGGCGAAAGCGGCCUCUAAACGAAUACUGACACUGAGGUGCGAAAGCGUGGGGAGCAAACAGGGAUUUAGGAUACC